GACAAUAAAGGCCUCUGGAUUCUCAAAAAA
rnacentral:piRNA from 1 species